CCAAUCCCCCAUAUAUUUUGGAGCAGCUUCCAGCAGGAUGUACAACCACCAGCUAUGGUUUGCAUGCCCUGGCGAAGGACCCUGUCAUGCAAAUUAGGUGAUUGGAGUUCGAUGGUCCUCGGUGACAAAGUGCACAGCUGGGUGCCAAACUAAUCCCCUGGUCAUGAACGGAUGACUGGACCUACCAGAAGGAGCAAAGCUUGUCAGGCAAGACCUCGGAAUAAAACCGUGUCAUGCGACACACGUACCAUUGUGACACCUCCUAAAUUGUUGCCAGUGCCUCCCUUGACUCCCAUGAAAAGGACACGCCAUCAUGACGCUUCUGAUAGUGACCCGAGUUACUGCCCUGAUGACACAGACGGCUUCAUCAGCAACGACAGAGAUGUCCAGCUUGCAGCCGAACAUGCAGCAUAGAGAAGACCAGCAAACAGGGCCCUCAUCAGCAUCAUGCAGACAUGCCCUCGCUGUGAGCAUUCCUAUGAAUGUAACAGUCAGCCACAUGUUGGCAAGUAUCCAGCCAGCAACCUACACCUCGCAGUGGCAACAGCGUUCACGGGAUAAUCAUUUGUACAAAUACAGAAGGUAACCCAUUUCAUUACUUUGAUACAUUUGAUAGCCCAAUUGUAAAACA
rnacentral:lncRNA from 1 species